UACGUAGGUGACCAGCGUUGUCCGGAUUUACUGGGCGUAAAGAGCGCGCAGGCGGUCGUUCAAGUCGAGUGUGAAAGCCCCCGGCUCAACUGGGGAGGGUCACUCGAUACUGAUCGACUUGAAGGCAGGAGAGGGAAGCGGAAUUCCCGGUGUAGUGGUGAAAUGCGUAGAUAUCGAGAGGAACACCUGCGGCGAAGGCGGGUUGCUGGGCUGACACUGACGCUGAGGCGCGAAAGCUAGGGGAGCGAACGGG
rnacentral:rRNA from 1 species